GGCGAACGGGUGAGGAACUCGUGAGAAACCUGCCUUUCAUUCUGGGAUAACACCGGGAAACCGGUGCUAAUACCGGAUACUCCGUCUUGGCGGCAUCGCCGAGCCGGGAAAAAAUUUUGAUGAAAGAUGGUCUCGCGGCCUAUCAGCUAGUUGGUGAGGUAAAGGCUCACCAAGGCGACGACGGGUAGCCGGCCUGAGAGGGCGACCGGCCACACUGGGACUGAGACACGGCCCAGACUCCUACGGGAGGCAGCAGUAGGGAAUAUUGGGCAAUGGGCGCAAGCCUGACCCAGCGACGCCGCGUGAGGGAUGAAGGUCUUCGGAUUGUAAACCUCUUUCAGUAGGGAAGAAGCGAAAGUGACGGUACCUAAAGAAGAAGCACCGGCUAACUAUGUGCCAGCAGCCGCGGUAAUACAUAGGGUGCAAGCGUUGUCCGGAAUUAUUGGGCGUAAAGAGCUCGUAGGUUGUUUGUCGCGUCGAUUGUGAAAAUCUGAGGCUCAACCUCAGACCUGCAGUCGAUACGGGCAAACUAGAGUGUGGUAGGGGAGACUGGAAUUCCUGGUGUAGCGGUGGAAUGCGCAGAUAUCAGGAGGAACACCAAUGGCGAAGGCAGGUCUCUGGGCCAUAACUGACACUGAGGAGCGAAAGUGCGGGGAGCGAACAGGAUU
rnacentral:rRNA from 1 species